CUACGGGGGGCUGCAGUGGGGAAUCUUAGACAAUGGGGGAAACCCUGAUCUAGCCAUGCCGCGUGAGUGACGAAGGCCUUAGGGUCGUAAAGCUCUUUCGCUGGGGAAGAUAAUGACUGUACCCAGUAAAGAAACCCCGGCUAACUCCGUGCCAGGCAGCCGCGGUAAUACGGAGGGGGUUAGCGUUGUUCGGAAUUACUGGGCGUAAAGCGCGCGUAGGCGGACUGGAAAGUUGGGGGUGAAAUCCCGGGGCUCAACCCCGGAACGGCCUCCAAAACUAUCAGUCUAGAGUUCGAGAGAGGUGAGUGGAAUUCCGAGUGUAGAGGUGAAAUUCGUAGAUAUUCGGAGGAACACCAGUGGCGAAGGCGGCUCACUGGCUCGAUACUGACGCUGAGGUGCGAAAGCGUGGGGAGCAAACAGGAUUAGAUACCCGGGUAGUC
rnacentral:rRNA from 1 species